rnacentral:rRNA from 1 species
UCCGCAAUGGACGAAAGUCUGACGGAGCAACGCCGCGUGAGUGAUGACGGCCUUCGGGUUGUAAAGCUCUGUUAAUCGGGACGAAAGGCCUUCUUGCGAAUAGUUAGAAGGAUUGACGGUACCGGAAUAGAAAGCCACGGCUAACUACGUGCCAGCAGCCACGGUAAUACGUAGGUGGGCAAGCGUUGUCCGGAAUUAUUGGGCGUAAAGCGCGCGCAGGCGGAUAGGUCAGUCUGUCUUAAAAGUUCGGGGCUUAACCCCGUGAUGGGAUGGAAACUGCCAAUCUAGAGUAUCGGAGAGGAAAGUGGAAUUCCUAGUGUAGCGGUGAAAUGCGUAGAUAUUAGGAAGAACACCAGUGGCGAAGGCGACUUUCUGGACGAAAACUGACGCUGAGGCGCGAAAGCCAGGGGAGCGAACGGGAUUAGAUACCCCGGUAGUCCUGGCCGUAAACGAUGGGUACUAGGUGUAGGAGGUAUCGACCCCUUCUGUGCCGGAGUUAACGCAAUAAGUACCCGCCUGGGGAGUACGACCGCAAGGUUGAAACUCAAAGGAAUUGACGGGGGCCCGCACAAGCGGUGGAGUAUGUGGUUUA